rnacentral:rRNA from 1 species
AUUGAACGCUGGCGGCAGGCCUAACACAUUCAAGUCGAGCGAGCGGCGGACGGGUGAGUAAUGUAUGGGGACUGCCCGAUAGAGGGGGAUAACUACUGGCAACGGUUGCUAAUACCGCAUCCUGUCGCAUCACCCAUAUGGGAUUAGCUAGUAGGUAAGGUAAUGGCUUACCUAGGCGACGAUCACUAGCUGGUCUGAGAGGAUGAUCAGCCAGACGGGGACUGAGACACGGCCCAGACUCCUACGGAGGCAGCAGUGGGGAAUAUUGCACAAUGGGCGCAAGCCUGAUACAGCCAUGCCGCGUGUAUGAAGAAGGCCCUAGGGUUGUAAAGUACUUUCAGUCGGGAGGCGUUACCGACAGAAGAAGCACCGGAUAACUCCGUGCCAGCAGCCGCGGUAAUUC